rnacentral:rRNA from 1 species
CACGUAGGGUGCGAGCGUUGUCCGGAAUUAUUGGGCGUAAAGAGCUCGUAGGCGGUGUGUCGCGUCGGCCGUGAAAACCUGCAGCUUAACUGUGGGCGUGCGGUCGAUACGGGCAUCACUGGAGUUCGGCAGGGGAGACUGGAAUUCCUGGUGUAGCGGUGAAAUGCGCAGAUAUCAGGAGGAACACCGGUGGCGAAGGCGGGUCUCUGGGGGCAACCUGACGCUGAGGCGCGAAAGCGUGGGGAGCGAACCGG